rnacentral:rRNA from 1 species
UGGGGAAUUUUGGACAAUGGGGGAAACCCUGAUCCAGCCAUCCCGCGUGUGCGAUGAAGGCCUUCGGGUUGUAAAGCACUUUUGGCAGGAAAGAAACGUCGCGGGUUAAUACCCCGCGAAACUGACGGUACCUGCAGAAUAAGCACCGGCUAACUACGUGCCAGCAGCCGCGGUAAUACGUAGGGUGCAAGCGUUAAUCGGAAUUACUGGGCGUAAAGCGUGCGCAGGCGGUUCGGAAAGAAAGAUGUGAAAUCCCAGAGCUUAACUUUGGAACUGCAUUUUUAACUACCGGGCUAGAGUGUGUCAGAGGGAGGUGGAAUUCCGCGUGUAGCAGUGAAAUGCGUAGAUAUGCGGAGGAACACCGAUGGCGAAGGCAGCCUCCUGGGAUAACACUGACGCUCAUGCACGAAAGCGUGGGGAGCAAACAGGAUUAGAUACCCUGGUAGUCCACGCCCUAAACGAUGUCAACUAGCUGUUGGGGCCCUUCGGGCCUUGGUAGCGCAGCUAACGCGUGAAGUUGGACCGCCUGGGGAGUACGGUCGCAAGAUAAAACUCAAAUGAAUUGACGGGGUCGAUANC